rnacentral:lncRNA from 1 species
GAUCAAGAAUAACAUAGUACCACCUCACCUACCGACCCAAAAACGCAUAGAGGAGGAGGACUAUAUAAGGAGACCCCCCUGGCCCCUGGAGAAGACAAGAAAUUAUCAUAGAGAUUGAGAGGUGCCCUCGAAGGAAAACCUCUUCUCUAAUUAAUAUUUCUUUUUAGGCUUAGCAACCAAUGUAAAGUAGAAAUAGAUCUUCUAGUUUCUACUAGAUUGAGAGAAAUAGAGUGGAGGUGU